rnacentral:rRNA from 1 species
AGAGUUUGAUCAUGGCUCAGAUUGAACGCUGGCGGAAUGCUUUACACAUGCAAGUCGAACGGCAGCACGGGAGCUUGCUCCUGGUGGCGAGUGGCGAACGGGUGAGUAAUGCGUCGGAACGUACCGAGUAAUGGGAGAUAACGCAGCGAAAGCUGUGCUAAUACCGCAUACGCCCUGAGGGGGAAAGUGGGGGAUCGCAAGACCUCACGUUAUUCGAGCGGCCGACGUCUGAUUAGCUAGUUGGUGGGGUAAUGGCCUACCAAGGCGACGAUCAGUAGCGGGUCUGAGAGGAUGAUCCGCCACACUGGGACUGAGACACGGCCCAGACUCCUACGGGAGGCAGCAGUGGGGAAUUUUGGACAAUGGGGGCAACCCUGAUCCAGCCAUUCCGCGUGAGUGAAGAAGGCCUUCGGGUUGUAAAGCUCUUUCAGCUGGAACGAAACGGUACAGGUUAAUACCCUGUGCUAAUGACGGUACCGGCAGAAGAAGCACCGGCUAACUACGUGCCAGCAGCCGCGGUAAUACGUAGGGUGCGAGCGUUAAUCGGAAUUACUGGGCGUAAAGCGUGCGCAGGCGGAUUGUUAAGCAAGAUGUGAAAUCCCCGGGCUUAACCUGGGAAUGGCAUUUUGAACUGGCAGUCUAGAGUGCGUCAGAGGGGGGUGGAAUUCCACGUGUAGCAGUGAAAUGCGUAGAGAUGUGGAGGAACACCAAUGGCGAAGGCAGCCCCCUGGGAUGACACUGACGCUCAUGUACGAAAGCGUGGGUAGCAAACAGGAUUAGAUACCCUGGUAGUCCACGCCCUAAACGAUGUCAACUGGUUGUUGGGGGAGUGAAAUCCCUUAGUAACGAAGCUAACGCGUGAAGUUGACCGCCUGGGGAGUACGGUCGCAAGAUUAAAACUCAAAUGAAUUGACGG